AAGAUGAGACAGAGAUCUAAGUAGUUGCAGAUAUCAGGGAAAUGAUCAAGCUUUCUCCUGAGAGUACCUAAUAUCUCCAGUGCUGUCCUGCAUUAUUUGCUUGAAGUUGUGGAGUUCGUAGUUGUUCUUAUGAAGAUAGAUUUGCCCCAUUUCCUAUGGUUUAUUUUACCUUGGACAAACUUAUAUGUUCUGACUUGUUUUCCGUUUAAGAUUUGUAAUAACUUAUAUUAUGCAUCUAAUGCUUAUUCGAACUCGUUUCAG
rnacentral:misc_RNA from 1 species